GGUUGAUGAGCAUUGGAGUUCUGGAGUGUAUGUUCCCAGGUAAAGUUUUAAUGAACCUCAACUCAUUGUGUAUACUUUUUGUUUAUUUAUUAUUUGCGUGUUGUAGGUUAAAUCUCUUCCCCAUUCGAGCUGUAGUCUUGUUGUUGCAAUUCUCAGGUGUUCAUCUUUGUACUCCUUUCUCUGCAAAAAAAAUGUUUUUCUUAGUUAUGUUGUAAGGAAUUGUUUAGAAUCCAGUUCGACCCAUGAGUCUUUGUUUGUAAUUUCUGGAGAUUUAAGCUUUAUUUCUGUUCGUGAAUUGUGAUUUUUGUUUCUUGGUUGUUUAGAAUCCAGUAAAAUGAAAAUCGGGUUGCUUAAUACUUUCUUAUUAGC
rnacentral:lncRNA from 1 species